rnacentral:sRNA from 1 species
ACGCUUAAUUUCCAGAAUUUACAGCUGGAAAGCGGGGGAACCAGUCAAUUGGGGCGAAUCAUUCAAAUUAGAGUGUAGGGUACCAUCUUACCCGAGUCCGUCAGCUAACCUCGUCAGUA